CGGAGAAACAUCUGGUUAUGAUGCUGCCAACGCCGCAGCGCUCACAUCUGGAGCCGCGGCUGCUGGAAUGCAGCGCAGCACUGGGAGCACUGGGAGGUCUGACGCUGUGGGAGGAGCUUCUGCUGAUUUUAUAUCUGGUUUAUUUCCAAGACUGAACAAUAAAGUUAAAGGAGCAGCAGGAAGCAGCAGCAGGACCAGGUUAAAGGAGCAGCAGGACCAGGUUAAAGGAGCAGCAGGACCAGGUUAAAGCAGCAGCAGGACCAGGUUAAAGGAGCAGCAGGAAGCAGCAGCAGGACCA